rnacentral:misc_RNA from 1 species
AUUAAAUGCAAUCAUAUAUGGGAAUAUCAUCUAUGCUAACUGCCAAACAUUCCAUGUGGAUCGAGCCGAGGAAUUGGUCAGGGAGAUGGAAGAGGAGGGUGUUGAUGCUCCAAUUGAUAUCUAUCAUACCAUGAUGGAUGGUUAUACAAUGAUAGGAAAUGAAGAAAAGUGUCUCAUUGUAUUUGAUAGACUUAAGGAGUGUGGAUUUACACCUUCAGUUGUCAGCUAUGGGUGUUUGAUGAACCUCUAUAUCAAGAUUGGUAAGGUAUCCAAAGCUCUUGAGGUCAGUGAAAUGAUGAAAUUGGCUGGCAUAAAGCAUAACAUGAAGACAUAUUCCAUAUUGAUGAAUGGAUUCAUAAAUUUGAAAGAUUGGGCGAAUGCUUUUGCAAUUUUUGAGGAUGUAAUAAGAGAUGGGUUGAAGCCAGAUGUGGUACUUUAUAAUAACAUAAUCAGAGCAUUUUGUGGCAU